CUCCUCCCCUUGCGCCGGUCCGGCCGAGACCUCUCGGAGGGGUCGAUGUUUUCGGUCCCAGCUGGGGCUCGUCUCUCUGUCCACCCCACCGCCCGGUCCAGGUGCCCCAGAUGGUUCUGCUGGACGCAGAGAGGGCCUCCUACCUCUUCUUGAAGGCGCCAUGACAGUUCUAAUGCCUGGAAAAGACAAAAGGAGCGAAAGACAUAGCCUCAGUCCGAGAGGAGCGCCCCCACCCCAGCCCCCGCCUGCAUUAUUUUGGAACGAGACUGGUGUGCAGGACGCCAAUUCUCCGGAAAGCUUUUAAAAUUUACCUAACACUGAAAAUUAGUAGUUAACGCUUGGUGAUUGCUUAGCACUAUUUGCUUAAACUUUGUAAGAGGUUUUCACAGAUGUUAUUUCAUUUGAUCCUCAUAAGAACGAACUCAUUGAAAUUAUCAUUCAAUGGUAGUUGACAAAUGCAAAAACCUGAAUCAGAGGUAUUAAGCUAUUAACCGAAAGUUAAGUUGGUAAGAGCCAAGUCUAGAAUCCGAAACAGUAAAUUUCAUCAAAGGAGACUACGUUGAGAAGAUGUUUGGAAAGAAUUUAGAUUGGUUUCGAGUUAGUGGAAAGAAAAGAUGAUAAAUUCUUGGUGAGCUAUUAAUCUGCGAAAACUAAGCGCGGAGCCUUCAGGAUGGAAGUUCACUCUGCCCUUAGACGUGUAUGAUGGAGGGAAGAUGAUGAAUCAAUCAACAGAACUUGGAAAUGUCACAAUCACCAAAUUUUACUGUCAUUAAAGAGAAUCUCUAAUCCUGUUUCACUGGGAGAAAGGACAACUGGCAGAAACCCUCUCGUUUUCUCAUCAUCUCAAAAUACUCGUUUUUAAAACCAAUCUUUCGGCCGGGCGCGGUGGCUCACGCCCAGCACUUUGGGAGGCCGAGGUGGGCGGAUCACUUGAGGUCAGGAGUUCGAGACCAGCCUGCUCAAUGUAGUAAAACUCCGUCUCUACUAAAAAUACAAAAAUUAGCCGGGCGAGGUAGCACAUGUCUGUUCUCUCAAGCUGCUUGGGAGGCUGAGGCGGGAAGAUCACUUGAGCCCAGGAGGCAGAGGUUGCAGUAGGCCAAGACUGCACGACUACGCUCCAGCCUGGGCAACAGAGUGUGAGAAUCCGUCUC
rnacentral:lncRNA from 1 species